AGCGAACGCUGGCGGCAGGCCUAACACAUGCAAGUCGAACGAAGUCUUCGGACUUAGUGGCGGACGGGUGAGUAACACGUGGGAACGUGCCUUUAGGUUCGGAAUAACUCAGGGAAACUUGUGCUAAUACCGAAUGUGCCCUUCGGGGGAAAGAUUUAUAGCCUUUAGAGCGCGCCGCGUCUGGUUAGCUAGUUGGUGAGGUAAAGGCUCACCAAGGCUAAGAUCAGUAGCUGGUCUGAGAGGAUGACGAGCCACAUUGGGACUGAGACACGGCCCAAACUCCUACGGGAGGCAGCAGUGGGGAAUCUUGCGCAAUGGGCGAAAGCCUGACGCAGCCAUGCCGCGUGGAUGAUGAAGGUCUUAGGAUUGUAAAAUCCUUUCACCGGUGAAGAUAAUGACUGUAGCCGGAGAAGAAGCCCCGGCUAACUUCGUGCCAGCCGCCGCGGUAAAAC
rnacentral:rRNA from 1 species